AAUAUAUAGAACAUGACCCCGAGUGGUGUAUCAGAUAUACACGAAAAUGAUAUUCAUAAUCCCGAGGGCGUAGCCCGAGGGAUUAUGAAUAUCAUUUGAGUGUAUAUCUGAUACACCCACGAGGGAAAGGUCAUGUUCUAUAUGGCUUGUAUAAUGGGAAGCCAUAAGAAGGAAAGGUUAUGCGCAUGCUCAGUAGCACGUGGUACAACUGUAAGGCACCAAUAUGGCUGAAGGAGAAGGAGAACCAUAAGAAAAAGCAGCAAAAGAAGCGAAUGAAAAUGUGUAAAGCGCUCAAUAAAGGUUUUGAACCCUUGGACACUAAUAGAGAUAUGAAGAGGUACAGAAUUCAUCUCAAAUUGACUAGUAGGAGCUACACUUGUUGAUGAAAGGUCGUCGCGAUGACUGAAAUCAUUCUGGAAUAUAAUGGGCAUGCAAUUCAAUCAAUCUUUGCAGAGUAAAGACUACUAUUAUAUCAGUUUAUUUACAAAAUCUUUUAUUUAUAACAUAUUUUGCUGUUUUACAAAUGACCUUUUGUUAUCAUUGUUAUCACAACUGAACAAGCCAAGCAU